rnacentral:antisense_RNA from 11 species
GCCAAUUCUUAAUUCCGUUUGACACGACAUUGCUCACAUUGCUUCCAGUGUAAUUUAUAGCUUUUGGCAAGGUUGAAAAUUU